GGUCAUGGUGUUUUGACACUGCAAUAGAAAAGUAAGUAAGACACAAGGUCUCCUUGCUCAGUAGACCAGGCUGGCCUUGAUGUCACAGAGAUCCACUUGCCUCUAACUCCUGAGUGUGGGGAUUAGAGGCAUGAGCCACUACACCCAGCUUGUCACCUUCAUUUUAAGGAUGAGAAAUCCAACUUGAAAACCUCUAGCAGGCUGCCUGGUCACAUGCUGUGAAGGAAAGAAACUGGGGUUUUAAUCUAGUUGUCUUCACAUACUGUGUCCCUGAUUCCUGGGCCCCCUGUCCCUAAGCAGGACCACACAUACAUCCCUGCUUCUGUAAGUGUGGUCCACUCCUAUUGGUGAAGUGUAGGUGAGGGACGCUGAUAUAGUAAAUUGGCCUUGAGACGGGGCUAUUGUCUGCUCUGAUUUGACAGUGACAGUGCAGUUUGGGGGACCCCCUGCAAGAGUGGCCUGCCUGUUCUUUGUGGAGCUAUUCUCAGGCUCCUGGCCCUCUCGAACUUUCCCUCCAAUCCAAAGGAUGUCAGAGCUCUUAUCUCACUGGGUGUGCACCUCCCUGGGGCUCUGUAAGGACAUUCUGGCCUCACAGAGGUUGGUGACUCAGCCAGAGUCCCCAGAGAAGUCUGACAGGGCAGGGGUCUCAUUUGGACCACCUGCCAGUGGUACUCGCUGCCACCACAUGCCCUCUGUGGUCGGGCAUGGGAGUGGAGCUAGGGAGUGGGGGUGACUUUCUGGGAUGCUCCAUCCCAAGUGCACAGAGAGAUGCUUUGGGGCUACAGCCUUGCCCACAGCUCAGAGUGAGCUGGCCUUGUGGUCACCCACUUCCCUACAGCCAGCUCAGGAUGCUGAAACUCUCUGAUGGUGGAAGUUGUUCAAGUUCUUGCUCCACAGUCCCGGGUUGGAUGGGCUUGGAAGCCUGUAUGUGGACCCAUUUCUCGAGUGUCAACUGCUGAACCAGGAGCCUUAGAUGAAAAUGCUCAGAGCAGUAUUGUUCACUCUGGAAAAAAUGCGGUGUCUGCCCCAAUGCCCAUCAGUAGCGGAGAGGAUGAAUGAGCUGUGGCUAUGUUCACGUGGUGAAAUGUUAGACAGCGGUCAAAAAACGAAUGGCCCUGCCUAACAAGCCACAGUGUGAUGGAUCUGGCAACAGGAAACCAAGAUGAAAAGGUCCCAAGAGAUGGUUUGCUGCAUGACACUUUUGAAUAAAGUUAAAAACCCUGAAUAUGAAAUCUUAAUUUUAUGGAAUUCAUAUGCGUGUAAUUAAGCUAUACAAAGUGUUAAGUAAGGGAAUGUGGGCCUGGGAUUAAGACAUCCAUUACUAGAGAUGGAGCCCAGGGCAGAGUUAGAAGCAGGCUGGAGUGAAGGAUGAGCCAUUGUUCUGGGUGAUGGGCUUAUGAACUUUUAUUACAUUAGUUGACCCAAUGUAACUAAACAGUGCCAAUAGAAGUGGGCAGGGCACAGACCAUUAAUAGGAUUGCCAUGGACCAAGGAGUCUGUAAACCUGGGAUCCAAACAGAAAACCCAAACCAAAUGAAAGGCACAGAAAAGGCUUUAGUGCUUCCCCCUAAGAAGACAACUAGAAAAAAAAUAUGUGUGAUGGGGAGUAAGCACUUGGCAGUCAGACUCUGGGAAAGGACAUUGUCAUUUUGUUUUAAGACAGUGUCCUGUGUGGCCCAGGCUGGCCUCAAACUCACUACACAGCCAAGGAUGACCUUGGUUCUGGAAGACAGGUAUAUAGUCCCGAGGCCUGCACUCUGGCUUCCCACACACUAACAUGCCUAGCCACCCCCAUAAAAAUUAUAGUUGUCCCUCAGCAUCUGAGGAGGCUUGGUUCCAGGAUCUCUCAAGUACUUUGGAUACUCAAGUCCCUUAAAUAAAAUGGCAUAGCAUUCACAUAUGUCUUACACACAUUCCUCCCAUAUACUUUGAAUUAUCUCUAGAUUACUUAUAAUAAUACACAGUUGUUAUGAUGUCAACAGUUGUUAUACUGUGCCAUUUAGGGGAUAAUGACAGAAAGAAAUAGUCUGUACAUGUUCUGCACAGAUGUGAUUUCUUUUGCUGACUUACUUUGAUCUGCAUUUGAUUGAACCCACAGACAGACCCCAUGGACACAGGUAGUGGCUUUUGUUAUUUUAGCUGUCAUCUUGGUAGGACAGAAGUCUGGGCAUUGAACAGCUAUGCAGAGGCACAGGGUCUCCAGAGACUUAAAUCAAGGUGUGGGUACCCUGUGGUCUCAUCUGAGACUUGGGGUCUACUCCCACAUUCUUCAUCGUCCUGGGACAGAGGGCCUUAACUUCUGAGGCUGCUGCUAUCUCCUACAGUGUAGUUUUCCACAGCAUGAAUGUAAACAUGAUCCAAUGAAAGGAAUAUCUCAUUGUAGUCACGAGUCUGGUUCACACUCUAAGGGAGAGUGUGAACAGGAUGUGUGUUGGUUUGAAUAGGAAAUGUCCCCUGCAAGCUCAGGUAUUUGAACAUGUGGUCUCCAGUUGGUGGCACUGUUUGGAGAUACUUGGGAGGCGCAGCCUUGCUAGAGGAAGUAUGUCACUGGGGGUAGGCUUUAGGGCUCAGAGCCUUGCCCCCACUUCCAGUUUGCUCUGUUUUGUGUCUGAAGCUGAAGAUGUGACCUCUCAGCUUCCUGCACGGCUGCCAUGCGUUCCCACCAUGAUCAAAUCCUAUCCCUCUGGAUCCAUAGGCUCAAACAAGCUCCCCCCUCCUCUUUUUCCUUUUUUCAAAAAGAAUUUAUCUGUAUUAUUUCUAUUAAUGUGUGUGUGUUUGACUAUUGAGUGAAUGCUACAUACAUGUAGGUGCCCAGAGAGGCCAGAAGAAGGUGUUAGAUCCCCCCCCCCCCAGAGCAGGAGUUACUGGUGAGUGACUGGUGCUCACUCAGCCAAACUCAGGUCCCUUGAAAGAGCAGUCCUUGGUCUUAACUGUUGCUCUCUCUCCAGUCUUCUAUAAGUUGCCUUAGCCAUGAAUCAGAGCAACAGAAAAAUAACCCUUGUUGUAGAAUAUUAGUAAGAUGUGCUGCAUUUGAUUGUGCUGUGGAACAUUUGUUUAAUGAUGCAAAGUUGUGUUGCAUUCUUUUAUGUUGCAUUUGUUUAACGCUGUGAAGCUGUGUUACUCUGCCUGUCUAAAACACCUGAUUGGCCUAAUAAAGAGCUGAAUGGCCAAUAGCAAGGCAGGAGAAAGGAUAGGCAGGGCUAGCAUGCAGAGAGAAUAAAUAGGAGAAGAGAGAAGAGGGGAGGGGCGAAAGAAAGAGAC
ensembl:lncRNA